UCUCCGUAGGUGAACCUGCGGAGGGAUCAUUACUGAGUGAGGGCUUCGGUCCGACCUCCAACCCUUUGUGAACCAAACUUGUUGCUUCGGGGGCGACCCUGCCGCUUCGGCGGUGCGGCGCCCCCGGAGGCCAUUAAACACUGCAUCUUUGCGUCUGAGUACACGAUUGAAUCAAUCAAAACUUUCAACAACGGAUCUCUUGGUUCUGGCAUCGAUGAAGAACGCAGC
rnacentral:misc_RNA from 1 species